rnacentral:rRNA from 1 species
GGCGUGCCUAAUACAUGCAAGUCGAACGCACUCUCGUUUAGAUUGAAGGAGUUUGCUCCUGAUUGAUAAACAUUUGAGUGAGUGGCGGACGGGUGAGUAACACGUGGGUAACCUGCCCUAAAGUGGGGGAUAACAUUUGGAAACAGAUGCUAAUACCGCAUAAAACCUAACACCGCAUGGUGUAGGGUUGAAAGAUGGUUUCGGCUAUCACUUUAGGAUGGACCCGCGGUGCAUUAGUUAGUUGGUGAGGUAAAGGCUCACCAAGACCGUGAUGCAUAGCCGACCUGAGAGGGUAAUCGGCCACACUGGGACUGAGACACGGUCCAGACUCCUACGGGAGGCAGCAGUAGGGAAUCUUCCACAAUGGACGAAAGUCUGAUGGAGCAACGCCGCGUGAGUGAAGAAGGUUUUCGGAUCGUAAAACUCUGUUGUUGGAGAAGAAUGUAUCUGAUAGUAACUGAUCAGGUAGUGACGGUAUCCAACCAGAAAGCCACGGCUAACUACGUGCCAGCAGCCGCGGUAAUACGUAGGUGGCAAGCGUUGUCCGGAUUUAUUGGGCGUAAAGCGAGCGCAGGCGGUUUCUUAAGUCUGAUGUGAAAGCCUUCGGCUCAACCGAAGAAGUGCAUCGGAAACUGGGAAACUUGAGUGCAGAAGAGGACAGUGGAACUCCAUGUGUAGCGGUGAAAUGCGUAGAUAUAUGGAAGAACACCAGUGGCGAAGGCGGCUGUCUGGUCUGUAACUGACGCUGAGGCUCGAAAGCAUGGGUAGCAAACAGGAUUAGAUACCCUGGUAGUCCAUGCCGUAAACGAUGAGUGCUAGGUGUUGGAGGGUUUCCGCCCUUCAGUGCCGCAGCUAACGCAUUAAGCACUCCGCCUGGGGAGUACGACCGCAAGGUUGAAACUCAAAGGAAUUGACGGGGGCCCGCACAAGCGGUGGAGCAUGUGGUUUAAUUCGAAGCAACGCGAAGAACCUUACCAGGUCUUGACAUCCUUUGACCACUCUAGAGAUAGAGCUUUCCCUUCGGGGACAAAGUGACAGGUGGUGCAUGGUUGUCGUCAGCUCGUGUCGUGAGAUGUUGGGUUAAGUCCCGCAACGAGCGCAACCCUUAUUACUAGUUGCCAGCAUUAAGUUGGGCACUCUAGUGAGACUGCCGGUGACAAACCGGAGGAAGGUGGGGACGACGUCAAAUCAUCAUGCCCCUUAUGACCUGGGCUACACACGUGCUACAAUGGAUGGUACAACGAGUUGCGAGACCGCGAGGUUUAGCUAAUCUCUUAAAACCAUUCUCAGUUCGGAUUGUAGGCUGCAACUCGCCUACAUGAAGCCGGAAUCGCUAGUAAUCGCGGAUCAGCAUGCCGCGGUGAAUACGUU